rnacentral:rRNA from 1 species
AGAGUUUGAUUAUGGCUCAGGAUGAACGCUGGCGGCGUGCCUAACACAUGCAAGUCGAACGAAGCAUUUACACGGAUUUCCUUCGGGGAUGAAGGGUUUAUGACUGAGUGGCGGACGGGUGAGUAACGCGUGGGCAACCUGCCCCGUACCGGGGGACAACAGCCGGAAACGGCUGCUAAUACCGUAUACGUUUUAAGGACCGCAUGGUCCGUAAAACAAAACUCCGGUGGUACGGGAUGGGCCCGCGUCUGAUUAGCUCGUUGGCGGGGUAACGGCCCACCAAGGCGACGAUCAGUAGCCGGCCUGAGAGGGCGGCCGGCCACAUUGGGACUGAGACACGGCCCAGACUCCUGCGGGAGGCAGCAGUGGGGAAUAUUGCACAAUGGGGGAAACCCUGAUGCAGCGACGCCGCGUGAGCGAGGAAGUACCUCGGUAUGUAAAGCUCUGUCAGCAGGGAAGAAAAUGACAGUACCUGACCAAGAAGCCCCGGCUAACUACUUGCC